rnacentral:rRNA from 1 species
GAUGAACGCUGGCGGCGUGCCUAAUACAUGCAAGUCGAGCGAACAGAUGAGGAGCUUGCUCCUCUGACGUUAGCGGCGGACGGGUGAGUAACACGUGGAUAACCUACCUAUAAGACUGGGAUAACUUCGGGAAACCGGAGCUAAUACCGGAUAAUAUAUUGAACCGCAUGGUUCAAUAGUGAAAGACGGUUUUGCUGUCACUUAUAGAUGGAUCCGCGCCGCAUUAGCUAGUUGGUAAGGUAACGGCUUGCCAAGGCAACGAUGCGUAGCCGACCUGAGAGGGUGAUCGGCCACACUGGAACUGAGACACGGUCCAGACUCCUACGGGAGGCAGCAGUAGGGAAUCUUCCGCAAUGGGCGAAAGCCUGACGGAGCAACGCCGCGUGAGUGAUGAAGGUCUUCGGAUCGUAAAACUCUGUUAUUAGGGAAGAACAAAUGUGUAAGUAACUAUGCACGUCUUGACGGUACCUAAUCAGAAAGCCACGGCUAACUACGUGC